UCCGAAUCUAGUCGUCCGUGGAUUGCUAAGGGCUGUCACUAGGUGGCUAAAUAUUUCAGUGUGUUUAGGGAUUGAACUAUUCGACCCUAGUGCGUCAAAGCCCUGACUGCAGAUUCCUGUCUUUUCUUUCCAGACGGUGUCCGAGAACGUUGGGCGAGGCAUUGCGAGGUAAUUGUGUUCCUGAAAGUGUUCGUCAGAAAAAUGGUAACUACCUGUAUUCUAUAUGGUUAUCGAAAAUGAGAUUUUUGUGCGUGGUGAAUUUACAAGUAACAUGUUCAUCAACGUGUACAAUCCCAUCAUCAUGUGUUCUGCUGUAUAAUUUCCUAAAAUGUCGUCACUUGCUUUACGUUGCACGUUUCGUCACAAGAUGAGGUAUUUCCACGCCAUUCGUCUUCGAUCAAGCUGAACCGAAAGUGAACUAAUAUAAAGCAACAUAUCGAAGAUCGUGCCUUUAUCCACGUGGUCGCUGCCGUGUCAUGAAGAAGUUGAGAGGGUCUCUUCUUUAUUGCAAGACAAAUGUGAUGAAAAGAAGAAAUCUGAGAAGACAGCAAUUGUGGAAAGAUAUGUCAGUUUGUAAUCGAUCAGAAGAGACAUUCCCUUAACUUUUAAAAGUAAUCUUAGUGUGAUGUAAACUGUAGCCUUAGCCAGAAAAUGUUAAUUUUUCGUGUUCGGUUUUCCAAAUUUCUUCAUUCAGUCGAGAUGCACUUGGCUUCUGCAGACAUUUACUCGAGCCAAUACUUGCUAGAAUAAUAAUCUGUCUUUUCAAUGAUUGAUUAUAUAAUUUAAUGCCAAGGAAGUUUUGUUGCAGCCAACUGAUGAAAGGGAGUUAAAAUUAAGUUGAGCUGCAGCCCCUGGAAGCAGUCUAUAUUACUGGUGUCAUCCUGAAGUGGUGAAAUGUUACCUGAAGUUCAACAGCAACAAAGACAUCUUGAAAUGGUAAUUUGAUUGUGAUUAUGGGACUUGGAACUGGGGAUGUCCCAUGAAAUCCAAUUUAAAUGUUGUAAUGGGACUACAGUAUUGUUAAAAAAUAGAUGCCUGCCUGAUCAGCUUGUGCUGAGGUGAAAUUUUCUUUGUGAUGAAACAAGAAAUUCCCUUGGAAAAGAAACUUUUGGUGCAACCUUGUCACAACGUGACGCAUUUUACGUGUGUUGGUAAUUUAGGGGCAUGUGUCGAGCAGAAGGAAGACGAGUGACAUUUUAAUUCUUUCUGGGACGCUGUUCGAGGGCGUUUUUUUUUAAAAGUUAUUUCUGGGUGAUGUCAUCUAAAAGGUGUUUCCUGCUUGAAUUCUAUUAGGUUAUUUAGAAAUCAAAAAUGUAACUGUUUGGUGUGGUAAAUUUACAGGUAACAUGUCCUUGGCUCAUUUGAUCAUGUGGCCUGCUGUACAUUUUCCAAAAAUGUCGUCCCUUGGUGCAUGACACACGUUUUGUCACAUGAAUAGGUAUCUCCACGCCAUUCGACCAAACUGAACCGAAAGUGAAUCAUUUCAAGCAACAUGUUGAAUAUUUUGCCUUUCUCCAUGGGUCCAUGGGCUGUGUCAUGAAGAUGGAUCUUUGAGAGGGUCACUACUGCAUUGCAAGACAGAAUGAUGAAAAGAGGGAAAAUAUUAAGGUAAAAGAAUCCUUUCCUUACCUGCUGAAGAAUUUGAGAACACAGCAAAGUCUGGACCACAUUUCUGUCAUGCAGGAGGUUUUGCUGCUGCAGCCAGCCAUUGAAAGGGAGUUUAAAUGAAGUUGAGUUGAAGCUCCUGGAAGCAGUCUACAUUGCUGGUGUCAUCCUAAAGUUAAACAGCAACACAGAUAAGCUGCAGUGUCAAUGUGAUGCUGCAUACUGUCAAUGGAGCUGGUGUUAUCCACAAGUUUAGAAGCAAAACUAGAAGCACAGCUGCAAGAACACAUCUCGAAAUGGAUGGUGGAAAUUUGCCGUGGUUUUGCAGUCUGCUGCCUGUUCAAGCUGUUGCUAUCCUGGAUUUUGCCUUAAUCCUUGAAAUAGCAGAUGUUGGUGGCAUCCAGAUGUUGCUGUGGCAGUGUGGCAGUGAAAUUCGGGUUGAAGAUUAAAAUACUUUCGUCUGAUAAAUGUUUAUCGAUCCAUGUAGCGUAUGAUUGAAGUAACUUGAUAUUAAUUUGCUAUUCCAUGUCACAUGUUGCAGCCUGUGUUGGUGAGAGUUCUUUGACACUAAGUUCUAUCUGCUGUUGAUGUUGGAUAUGAUAUUACCUUUAUCCACAUCCACAUGAUAUCAAAUUAUUCCUUAUUAAUUGAUGGCCAAACCUCCUAAGUCAAACCUGCAAUCUUGUGUUAUGUCAACUUCAUUGUUUAUAUCUUAUCACAUUUCACUUGUAAUCUAUAUAAAUAUAAAUAAUACCCAAAUUAAAAAAUACCAAUCAACUGAAAUGCUUUAAAUAGAAUGAAAUAAAUCUAAAUA